rnacentral:tRNA from 1 species
AAGGAUGUAGCGCAGCUUGGUAGCGCCUUUGUUUUGUUUUGGGUAAAGAAUGUCACGGGUUCCAAUCCUGUCAUCCCUACC